GACGAACGCUGGCGGCGUGCUUCAUACAUGCAAGUCGAACGAGAAGCUGACUUCGGUCAGUUGAAAGUGGCGGACGGUUGAGUAAUAUGUAGGAAAUCUGCCUUUAGUAGGUGUACAACAGAGGGAAACUUCUGCUAAUACCCCAUAUGAGCGUAGCUGAAAUGCUAUUCUUGAAAACUCCGGUGCCUAAAGAUGAGCCUGCAUCUGAUUAGCUAGUUGUUAGUGUAAUGGACUACCAAGGCGACGAUCAGUAGCUGGUUUGAGAGGAUGAGCAGCCACAAUGGGACUGAGACACGGCUCAUAAUCAUACGGGAGGCAGCAGUAGGGAAUUUUGCGCAAUGGGCGAAAGUCUGACGAAGCAACGCGGCGUGAACGAUUAAGCUCUUCGGGGUGUAAAGUCCUGUCGGUGGGCACGAAACUUGACGGUACCCAAAGAGGAAGCACCGGCUAACUUCGUG
rnacentral:rRNA from 1 species